UGGGGAAUCUUCCACAAUGGACGAAAGUCUGAUGGAGCAACGCCGCGUGAGUGAAGAAGGUCUUCGGAUCGUAAAGCUCUGUUGUCAGGGACGAAUGUAGGCUCUGGGAAUAUCGGAGACUAAUGACGGUACCUGACGAGGAAGCCACGGCUAACUACGUGCCAGCAGCCGCGGUAAUACGUAGGUGGCAAGCGUUGUCCGGCAUUAUUGGGCGUAAAGGGAGCGCAGGUGUGCGUGUAAGUCUUUCUUAAAAGUGCGGGGCUCAACCCCGAGAUGGGAAAGAAACUAUAAGACGUGAGUGCAGUAGAGGAAAGCGGAAUUCCUAGUGUAGCGGUGAAAUGCGUAGAUAUUAGGAGGAACACCAGUGGCGAAGGCGGCUUUCUGGACUGUAACUGACACUGAGGCUCGAAAGCCAGGGGAGCGAACG
rnacentral:rRNA from 1 species